rnacentral:rRNA from 1 species
AUGGGCGCAAGCCUGAUGCAGCCAUGCCGCGUGUAUGAAGAAGGCCUUCGGGUUGUAAAGUACUUUCAGUCGUGAGGAAGGYGUUGUAGUUAAUAGCYGCAUCRUUUGACGUUAGCGACAGAAGAAGCACCGGCUAACUCCGUGCCAGCAGCCGCGGUAAUACGGAGGGUGCGAGCGUUAAUCGGAAUUACUGGGCGUAAAGCGCAUGCAGGUGGUUUGUUAAGUCAGAUGUGAAAGCCCGGGGCUCAACCUCGGAAUAGCAUUUGAAACUGGCAGACUAGAGUACUGUAGAGGGGGGUAGAAUUUCAGGUGUAGCGGUGAAAUGCGUAGAGAUCUGAAGGAAUACCGGUGGCGAAGGCGGCCCCCUGGACAGAUACUGACACUCAGAUGCGAAAGCGUGGGGAGCAAACAGGAUUAGAUACCCUGGUAGUCCACGCCGUAAACGAUGUCUACUUGGAGGUUGUGGCCUUGAGCCGUGGCUUUCGGAGCUAACGCGUSAAGUAGACCGCCUGGG